UAGCUCAGUUAGUGGAGCAUGAGACUCUUAAUCCUAGGGUUGUGGGUUCGAGCCCCAC
rnacentral:tRNA from 1 species